UAGCUAGAGCUGGCUAUAAUGAUGCCAUGAGCGUUAAGGAUGAUCAAAGUCAUUAAGGUCCCUGAAAGUGGCUACAGAG
rnacentral:snoRNA from 1 species